rnacentral:tRNA from 1 species
GCCUCUGUAGCUCAGUUGGUUAGAGCGCUGCACCGGAAUCGCAGGGCCGCAGGUUCAAUUCCUGCCAGGGACC